rnacentral:rRNA from 1 species
GGGCCCGCACAAGCAGUGGAGCAUGUGGUUUAAUUCGAUGCAACGCGAAGAACCUUACCAGGCCUUGACAUCCUCGGAACUUUCUAGAGAUAGAUUGGUGCCUUCGGGAACCGAGUGACAGGUGCUGCAUGGCUGUCGUCAGCUCGUGUCGUGAGAUGUUGGGUUAAGUCCCGUAACGAGCGCAACCCUUGUCCUUAGUUGCCAGCACAUUAUGGUGGGAACUCUAAGGAGACUGCCGGUGACAAACCGGAGGAAGGUGGGGACGACGUCAAAUCAUCACGGCCCUUACGUCCUGGCCACACACGUGCUACAAUGGUAGGUACAGAGGGAAGCCACCCCGCGAGGGGAGCGGA